rnacentral:rRNA from 1 species
CCUACGGGAGGCUGCAGUGAGGAAUAUUGGUCAAUGGACGAGAGUCUGAACCAGCCAUGUAGCGUGAAGGAUGACUGCCCUAUGGGUUGUAAACUUCUUUUAUAUGGGAAUAAAAUGUUCCACGUGUGUGAUUUUGUAUGUACCGUAUGAAUAAGGAUCGGCUAACUCCGUGCCAGCAGCCGCGGUAAUACGGAGGAUCCGAGCGUUAUCCGGAUUUAUUGGGUUUAAAGGGCGCGUAGGUGGUUUGUUAAGUUAGUGGUUAAAUGUUGCGGCUCAACCGCAAAAUUGCAGUUGAGACUGGUAGUCUUGAGUACAGUAGAGGUGGGCGGAAUUCGUGGUGUAGCGGUGAAAUGCUUAGAGAUCAUGAAGAACACCGAUUGCGAAGGCAGUUCACUAGACUGCAACUGACGCUGAGGCUCGAAAGUGUGGGUAUCAAACAGGAUUAGAUACCCUAGUAGUC